AUUGAACGCUGGCGGCAUGCUUUACACAUGCCAGUCGAACGGUAACAGGCCUUCGGGUGCUGACGAGUGGCGAACGGGUGAGUAAUGCAUCGGAACGUACCCAGAGGUGGGGGAUAACGCAGCGAAAGCUGUGCUAAUACCGCAUGUGAUCUGAGGAUGAAAGCGGGGGACCGAGCAGCAAUGUUUGGCCUCGCGCCUUUGGAGCGGCCGAUGUCGGAUUAGCUAGUUGGUGGGGUAAAGGCCUACCAAGGCGACGAUCCGUAGCUGGUCUGAGAGGACGACCAGCCACACUGGGACUGAGACACGGCCCAGACUCCUACGGGAGGCAGCAGUGGGGAAUUUUGGACAAUGGGCGCAAGCCUGAUCCAGCAAUGCCGCGUGCGGGAAGAAGGCCUUCGGGUUGUAAACCGCUUUUGGCAGGAACGAAACGGUGUCCGCUAAUACCGGGCGGUAAUGACGGUACCUGCAGAAUAAGCACCGGCUAACUACGUG
rnacentral:rRNA from 1 species